UGUUAAGAGGCGAUAUAAAUCUAUAGAAGUGGCAGCCUGCCUGAGUUUGUCUUCGUACAAUGCAUUAUGGUCCACCUUCAUUGGUUUAACCAUUCCAUGAUCCUGUCUCUACUUUGACAGUACCUGCAGACUAUUUGUCUUGUUUUAAUGACCUUUGGAUACACUGUCUUAACUGGUAAGACAGUACUUUCUAUCUCCUCUUGAGAGAGAUUGUACAGUAUGUACUCCAACCGAUUGCACUGCGACAGCCCUGCACUACCCUUGCCCU